GUCCAGGUGCUUGUCUUGCGGAUACUCGACAACUACGACGUGCGAAGUUGUGGUGGCAGUAUCAUAACUAGGAACGUCAUUCUUACCGCUGCUCACUGUGUCCUGAGCGAGCCCCUGUAUUGAGGUGAAACAAGGAGUUAUACACAACAAGUACAUCGAUGCAUUCCAAGGCUAUGACAUCGCUCUAUUAAAGCUUUCAAGACCCUUACCAAUGUUCGACCGAUUCGUCGGAGCAGUUUGCCUACCGAGAAGUGGAGCACCUACAAAGGCAGGUCCUAUGCUUCUGCCAGGUUAUGGUGCCACAA
rnacentral:lncRNA from 1 species